rnacentral:rRNA from 1 species
GAUGAACGCUGGCGGCGUGCCUAAUACAUGCAAGUCGAGCGAAGCGGGGACGGGUGAGUAACACGUGUAUAACCUCCUCUAAGGCUGGGAUAACUUCGGGAAACCGGCGGUAAACCGGAUAAUUAUAGCUGGAUCCGCGUUGCAUUAGCUAGUUGGUACGGUAACGGCUUACCAAGGCAACGAGGCGUAGCCGACCUGAGAGGGUGAUCGGCCACACUGGAACUGAGACACGGACCAGACUCCGACGGUAGGCAGCAGUAGGGAAGCGUCCGCAAGGGGCGAAAGCCUGACGGAGCCACGCCGCGUGAGUGAUGAAGGUCUUCGGGUCGUAAAGCUCUGUUAUUAGGGAAGCGGUACCUAAUGAGGAAGCCACGGCUAACUACGUGCCAGCAGCCGCGGUAAUUC